rnacentral:rRNA from 1 species
UACAGAGGGUGCGAGCGUUAAUCGGAAUUACUGGGCGUAAAGUGUGCGCAGGCGGCACCGCAAGUCGAGUGUGAAAGCCCCGGGCUUAACUUGGGAAUUGCGCUCGAAACUAUGGUGCUGGAGUGUGGCAGAGGAAGGUGGAAUUCCAGGUGUAGCGGUGAAAUGCGUAGAGAUCUGGAGGAACACCGAUGGCGAAGGCAGCCUUCUGGGCCAACACUGACGCUCAUGCACGAAAGCGUGGGGAGCAAACAGG